GUGAACCUGCGGAAGGAUCAUUACCGAGUGCGGGCCCCUCGGGGCCCAACCUCCCACCCGUGUUGCCCGAACCUAUGUUGCCUCGGCGGGCCCCGCGCCCGCCGACGGCCCCCCUGAACGCUGUCUGAAGUUGCAGUCUGAGACCUAUAACGAAAUUAGUUAAAACUUUCAACAACGGAUCUCUUGGUUCCGGCAUCGAUGAAGAACGCAGCGAAAUGCGAUAACUAAUGUGAAUUGCAGAAUUCAGUGAAUCAUCGAGUCUUUGAACGCACAUUGCGCCCUCUGGUAUUCCGGAGGGCAUGCCUGUCCGAGCGUCAUUGCUGCCCUCAAGCCCGGCUUGUGUGUUGGGCCCCGUCCCCCCCGCCGGGGGGACGGGCCCGAAAGGCAGCGGCGGCACCGCGUCCGGUCCUCGAGCGUAUGGGGCUUCGUCACCCGCUCUAGUAGGCCCGGCCGGCGCCAGCCGACCCCCAACCUUUAAUUAUCUCAGGUUGACCUCGGAUCAGGUAGGGAUACCCGCUGAACUUAAGCAUAUCAAUAA
rnacentral:rRNA from 1 species